ensembl:lncRNA
CUAGGUUAGAUGACAGCUCUAAUUUAGAUGAGUUAUAGUACAGGUGUUCUCUGGAACACACCCAAACUUUUUUAAAACUUCAAAAACAAAUAUUUCUUUGGACUUCUGCAGGGUCUCUUCUCUCUUGUACGGGCUGUCUGCUCCUAUUCAGCGCUUCUCGCUCAUCCUUUGUAACCACGAGGCAGCUGAGCCGCUGAUCCGCUUGUCCAUCCUGGUGAUCUGACGCAUGAUCUUGUGUGCAUCUCCCCGGGCACUUUUUUUCCUUUGCAUAUCAGCUCACUUCACCCACUUACUCACAGCUGAUUGCAC